rnacentral:rRNA from 1 species
GACGAACGCUGGCGGCGUGCUUAACACAUGCAAGUCGAACGGAAAGGCCCUGCUUUUGUGGGGUGCUCGAGUGGCGAACGGGUGAGUAACACGUGAGUAACCUGCCCUUGACUUUGGGAUAACUUCAGGAAACUGGGGCUAAUACCGGAUAGGAGCUCCUGCUGCAUGGUGGGGGUUGGAAAGUUUCGGCGGUUGGGGAUGGACUCGCGGCUUAUCAGCUUGUUGGUGGGGUAGUGGCUUACCAAGGCUUUGACGGGUAGCCGGCCUGAGAGGGUGACCGGCCAACAUGGGGCCUGGGUAACGGCCAGAAUCCUACGGGAGGGAAGAGGGGGGAAUAUUUCAACAAGGGGGGAAGGCUGAUGCAGGAAAGGCGGGGGGGGGAAGAAGGGCCUUGGGGUGGAAAACGGCUUUGCCCUUGAACAAGGGGGAGGUGAGGUUAUGGGUAAAGGAGGAACGGCUUACUUAGUG